rnacentral:rRNA from 1 species
UACGAAGGGGGCUAGCGUUGCUCGGAAUCACUGGGCGUAAAGCGCACGUAGGCGGAUUUUUAAGUCAGGGGUGAAAUCCUGGAGCUCAACUCCAGAACUGCCUUUGAUACUGGGAAUCUAGAGUCCGGAAGAGGUGAGUGGAACUCCGAGUGUAGAGGUGAAAUUCGUAGAUAUUCGGAAGAACACCAGUGGCGAAGGCGGCUCACUGGUCCGGUACUGACGCUGAGGUGCGAAAGCUAGGGGAGCAAACAGG